rnacentral:rRNA from 1 species
AUUGAACGCUGGCGGCAUGCCUAACACAUGCAAGUCGAACGAAGGCUUCGGCCUUAGUGGCGCACGGGUGCGUAACGCGUGGGAAUCUGCCCUUGGGUUCGGAAUAACUCAGAGAAAUUUGAGCUAAUACCGAAUGAUGUCGAAAGACCAAAGAUUUAUCGCCCAAGGAUGAGCCCGCGUAGGAUUAGCUUGUUGGUGAGGUAAAGGCUCACCAAGGCGACGAUCCUUAGCUGGUCUGAGAGGAUGAUCAGCCACACUGGGACUGAGACACGGCCCAGACUCCUACGGGAGGCAGCAGUGGGGAAUAUUGGACAAUGGGCGAAAGCCUGAUCCAGCAAUGCCGCGUGAGUGAUGAAGGCCUUAGGGUUGUAAAGCUCUUUUACCAGGGAUGAUAAUGACAGUACCUGGAGAAUAAGCUCCGGCUAACUCCGUGCCAGCAGCCGCGGUAAAGUCUGU